GUCAAUGCUUCCCCUGGUCACUGGAAAGACUUGGGUUUGAAUCCUAACUGGCUGCAGUUUGCUUGUAACAUUAUUUGGGGCUUGGUUUCGAGUCCUAUGGGCUUGGGUUCGAGUCUUAGCCAGUGCAAAAUGCCUCUAGGAUUAAUAAAAAAUAUAGGUUUCGAGUCCUAUGGGCUUGGGUUCGAGUCUUAGCCAGUGCAAAAUGCCUCUAGGAUUAAU
rnacentral:lncRNA from 1 species